rnacentral:rRNA from 1 species
CGGCCGUACCAUGAAUAUACCGGUUCUCGUUAGAUCACCGAAGUCAAGCAUCAUUGGGCGCGGUCAGUACUUGGGUGGGUGACCA